GCGUUGUUCGGAUUCAUUGGGCGUAAAGGGUGCGUAGGCGGCGCGGUAAGUCGGGUGUGAAAUCUCGGAGCUUAACUCCGAAACUGCAUUCGAUACUGCCGUGCUUGAGGACUGGAGAGGAGACUGGAAUUUACGGUGUAGCGGUGAAAUGCGUAGAUAUCGUAAGGAAGACCAGUGGCGAAGGCGGGUCUCUGGACAGUUCCUGACGCUGAGGCACGAAGGCCAG
rnacentral:rRNA from 1 species